rnacentral:pre_miRNA from 1 species
AAUAAGAUCAUUUUUUAUACAAUGUUUUGACUCUUCGUUUUAUUUAAAAAAUUUACGAUUAAUAUUUUUAUUCUUGCUAGAUGAUAAAACAUGAAUAUUACUUUAUGCAUGACUAAUUUUUUAAAGUUUUUUACAAAUUUUUCAAAUAAGACGAAUGGUCAAAGGUUCGGCACGAAAAAAC